rnacentral:rRNA from 1 species
UACGUAGGAGACGAGCGUUGUCCGGAGUUACUGGGCGUAAAGGGUGCGCAGGUGGCGGCGCGCGUGGGGGGUGAAAUCGCCCGGCUUAACUGGGCGGGGGCCUUCCAGACGGCGUGGCUUGAGCAGCGGAGGGGGACGUGGAAUUCCGGGUGGAGCGGUGAAAUGCGUAGAGAUCCGGAGGAACACCGACGGCGCAGGCAGUGUCCUGGCCGCUUGCUGACACUGAGGCACGAAAGCUGGGGGGAGCAAACAGG